rnacentral:lncRNA from 1 species
AUGGAAAAGAAAUGCAAAAAAGCAAAAUGGCUGUCUGGGGAGGUCUUACAAAUAGCUGUGAAAAGACGAGAGGUGAAAAGCAAUGGAGAAAAGGAAAGAUAUAAGCAUCUGAAUGCAGAGUUCCAAAGAAUACCAAGGAGAGAUAAGAAAGCCUUCCUCAGCUAUCAAUGCAAAGAAAUAGAGGAAAACAACAGAAUGGGAAAGACUAGAGAUCUCUUCAAGAAAAUUAGAGAUACCAAGGGAACACAUCAUGCAAAGAUGGGCUCGAUAAAGGACAGAAAUGGUAUGGACCUAACAGAAGCAGAAGAUAUUAAGAAGAGGUGGCAAGAUUACACAGAAGAACUGUACAAAAAAGAUCUUCACAACCAAGAUAAUCACGAUAGUGUAAUCACUCACCUAGAGCCAGACAUCCUGGAAUGUGAAGUCAAGUGGGCCUUAGAAAGCAUCACUACGAACAAAGCCAGUGAAGGUGAUGGAAUUCCAGUUGAGCUGUUUCAAAUCCUGAAAGAUGAUGCUGUGAAAGUGCUGCACUCAAUAUGCCAGCACAUUUGGAAAACUCAGCAGUGGCCACAGGACUGGAAAAGGUCACUUUUCAUUCCAAUCCCAAAGAAAGGCAAUGCCAAAGAAUGCUCAAACUACCGCACAAUUGCACUCAUCUCACAUGCUAGUAAAGUAAUGCUCAAAAUUCUCCAAGCCAGGCUUCAGAAAUAUGUGAACAGUGAACUUCCAGAUGUUCAAACUGGUUUUAGAAAAGGCAGAGGAACCAGAGAUCAAAUUGCCAACAUCUGCUGGAUCAUGGAAAAAGCAAGAGAGUUCCAGAAAAACAUCUAUUUCUGCUUUAUUGACUAUGCCAAAGCCUUUGAGUGUGUGGAUCACAACAAACUGUGGAAAAUUCUGAGAGAGAUGGGAGUAGCAGACCACCUGACCUGCCUCUUGAGAAACCUAUAUGCAGGUCAAGAAGCAACAGUUAGAACUGGACAUGGAACAACAGACUGGUUCCAAAUAGGAAAAGGAGGACAUCAAGGAUGUAUAUUGUCACCCUGCUUAUUUAACUUCUGUGCAGAGUACAUCAUGAGAAACGCUGGGCUGGAUAAAGCACAAGCUGGAAUCAAGAUUGCCAGUAGAAAUAUCAAUAACCUCAGAUAUGCAGAUGACAUCACCCUUAUGGCAGAAAGUGAAGAGGAGCUAAAGAGCCUCUUGAUGAAAGUGAAAGAGGAGAGUGAAAAAGUUGGCUUAAAGCUCAACAUUCAGAAAACGAAGAUCAUGGCAUCCGGUCCCAUCACUUCAUGGGAAAUAGAUGGGGAAACAGUGGAAACAGUGUCAGACUUUAUUUUCUUGGGCUCCAAGAUCACUGCAGAUGGUGACUGCAGCCAUGAAAUUAAAAGACACUUACUCCUUGGAAGGAAAGUUAUGACCAACCUAGACAGCAUAUUGAGAAGCAGAGAUAUUACUUUGCCAACAAAGGUCCGCCUAGUCAAGGCUAUGGUUUUUCCUGUGGUCAUGUAUGGAUGUGAGAGUUGGACUGUGAAGAAGGCUGAGUGCCGAAGAAUUGAUGCUUUUGAACUGUGGUGUUGGAGAAGACUCUUGAGAGUCCGUCCCUUGGACUGCAAGGAGCUCCAACCAAUCCAUCCUAAAGGAGAUCAGCCCUGGGAUUUCUUUGGAAGGACUGAUGCUGAAGCUGAAACUCCAAUAGUUUGGCCACCUCAUGUGAAGAGUUGA